GGGGGGGUGUUUUUCGGAUACUGGGCGUAAGAGCUCGUAGGCGGUCUGUUUAGUCGGGUGUGAAAGCCCUCGGCUCAACCGAGGAAUUGCAUUCGAUACUGGCAGGCUAGAGUCUAGCAGAGGGAAGUGGAAUUCCCGGUGUAGCGGUGAAAUGCGCAGAUAUCGGGAAGAACACCGGUGGCGAAGGCGGCUUCCUGGGCUAUGACUGACGCUGAGGAGCGAAAGCUAGGGGAGCGAACAGGAUUAGAUACCCUGGUAGUCCUAGCCGUAAACGAUGGGCACUAGGUGUGGGGGGUUACCAAAUCCCUCCGUGCCGAAGCUAACGCAUUAAGUGCCCCGCCUGGGGAGUACGGCCGCAAGGCUAAAACUCAAAGGAAUUGACGGGGGCCCGCACAAGCGGCGGAGCAUGUGGCUUAAUUCGACGCAACGCGAAGAACCUUACCAGGGUUUGACAUGUGCGUGAAAACCGUGGAAACAUGGUCCUCCUUCGGGACGCGUGCACAGGUGGUGCAUGGCUGUCGUCAGCUCGUGUCGUGAGAUGUUGGGUUAAGUCCCGCAACGAGCGCAACCCUUAUCGCAUGUUGCCAGCGGGUUAUGCCGGGAACUCAUGCGAGACUGCCGGUGUCAAACCGGAGGAAGGUGGGGAUGACGUCAAGUCAUCAUGCCCCUUAUGCCCUGGGCUGCACACGUGCUACAAUGGCCGGUACAGAGGGUUGCGAUACUGUGAGGUGGAGCUAAUCCCAAAAAGCCGGUCUCAGUUCGGAUUGGGGUCUGCAACUCGACCCCAUGAAGUCGGAGUCGCUAGUAAUCGCAGAUCAGCAACGCUGCGGUGAAUACGUUCCCGGGCCUUGUACACACCGCCCGUCAAGUCACGAAAGUUGGUAACACCCGAAGCCGGUGGCCUAACCCCUUGUGGGAGGGAGCUGUCGAAAGUGGGACUGGCGAUUGGGACUAAGUCGUAACAAGGUAAC
rnacentral:rRNA from 1 species